rnacentral:rRNA from 1 species
CCUAACACAUGCAAGUCGAACGGUAACAGGAAACAGCUUGCUGUUUCGCUGACGAGUGGCGGACGGGUGAGUAAUGUCUGGGAAACUGCCUGAUGGAGGGGGAUAACUACUGGAAACGGUAGCUAAUACCGCAUAACGUCGCAAGACCAAAGAGGGGGACCUUCGGGCCUCUUGCCAUCAGAUGUGCCCAGAUGGGAUUAGCUAGUAGGUGGGGUAACGGCUCACCUAGGCGACGAUCCCUAGCUGGUCUGAGAGGAUGACCAGCCACACUGGAACUGAGACACGGUCCAGACUCCUACGGGAGGCAGCAGUGGGGAAUAUUGCACAAUGGGCGCAAGCCUGAUGCAGCCAUGCC